ensembl:lncRNA
CUUUCUUCUUUUCUUUUCUUUUGGAGACAGGGUUUCACUCUACCCCCCAGGCUGGAGUACAGUGAGGCCAUCAUGGCUUACUACAGCUCUGACCUCCUGGCUCAGGCACUUGUCUCACCUCAGCCCCAUGUAGCUAGGACUACAGACACGUGCCACCAUGACCAGACAGAAUCUUGUCCUGUUACCCAGCUGGAGUGCUGUGGCAUGAUCUUGGCUCUCUGCAGCUUCAACCUCCCAGGCUCAAGAGAUCCUCCUACCUCAGCCUCUUGAGUAGCUGGAACUGCAGGUAUGCAUCACCACACCUGCCUAAUUUUUUAAUUUUAACUUUUGUAGAGACAGAGUCUCACUAUGUUACUCACGCUGGUCUCAAACUCCUGGGCUCAAGUGAUCCUCCUGUCUGGGCCUCCCAAAGUGCUGGGAUUACAGGAGUGAACCAUUGUAUCUGACUGUGAACACAGUUUAAAUCUAGUUUAUAAACAUCUGCAUAUAUAGCUCACAUGUAAAAACAAGCAUGAACACAAAACUUACAAAUUUCAGAAUAGUAUUUACCUCUAGGGAGGGAAAGAUGGUGGGAUAGGACUUUAAUAGUAUCUGUAGCAUUUUACUUCUUUAAAGAGAAAAUGCUCAGAUGAUCUUAGCAGUAAUCAUAAGAGAAAGACAAAAUCAACAUUAUAUGCUCCAAUAGAAGUAUACAAGGUAUCUAUUAAAUAUUUUUGCUUUAAAAAGAGAGCUUAUAUCCCCAUAAAGGUCUAGAUUCAACCCCCAAUUUACUGAAAAACAGGGGAUCAAAAAAAAGUGUAAAUGGAGCUACUUGGAUGCAAUCGGCAAAAUUUGGAGUGUACAAAUUAUGAGAGCUAAGCAAUCUAUCAACUAAUUGCAAUGUAUGAACUUCUCUUUGGUUCUGAUUCAAACAAACUUAUAAAUUAUGAAAAAAACAGGAAUGUUUGAAUACUGAGUGAAUACUCAAGGAUAUUUAAGAAUUAUUAUUUAGGUGCUAUAUGAUAGUGUAGGUCUAUUCUUAAAUUAAUCCUUUUAUUUUAAAGAUUGAUGUUAAAAUAUGUAUGGAUGAAGUAAUAAUUAUGUCUACGACUUGCUACCAAAUAAUAUCAGGAGAUGGAGGAGUGGAUAUGUAUAUAGAUCACACAAGAUUGUUGUUUCUUCUUUUAUAUGUUUGAAAUGUCACAUUAAUAAGUUUUUUUUAAAAAGGAGGAGGAGAAGAAAGAAAACUGAAUGCAAGCAAGAAAAAUGUAAAGAUCUAUUACAACCAAGUGGUUUAACAUGUAUCAUAUCUAAGUGGAUGUCAUUUUACUUUUUGUAUAUUUGGUGAGUUUGAAAUAUUACAUAAUUUAAUUUUUAAAAGAUUUAAAUUUGUAUAAAUAACUCCAUAGUAUCACAAACAUAAAAUAUACUCUGACUAUAUAUUUUAUGACUGAGCAUGAUCCAGCCUCAGUGCAGGGAGACAGAUAUGUUAUCAGGAGUGAAGUGAGGGCUUCCCACAGCCUGCUGCUCAUAUACACCAGACACUUUUGAUUUACCCUCCUACCAGAUUCCCCCAGCCCCUCCUCAGAUAGAGAACCACCACUAUCUAGUGCUAUGAACCAGAAAUUAACCCUUUGUAUCUACCUAAACAAAAAAGCCUUAGUUCUAGCUGAGUAGCUUGACUGUCUCUUUCAGUUAAAUUUACCUUCAAAUUAUUUACACUGGUGAAUGUUGGAGUUAUAAGAUUAAUUCAUCAAAAACAGUGUUCGGUCCCUAGAACACAACAUGCCUUGCUCUUGUGUAUGUGAAGAGGGUAUUUUCAUGUUCUGGCAUGUUUGCUGCAGUGUUUAUAAUUUAGGUAUUUGAGUUGACAAUAAUGGACCCCCAUCAUAAGUUUUCGAUAAAUUAGUCACAUAUGCUAAGUCUGUCCAGCCAUCUAGGAUGAGAACAGAACAUUAAAACAUCUGGUAUGUUACUCUGAAGUGUUAUCAGGCCACUUAAUUGUUGCUGAAUAGUUUCAAACUCUACA